CAACAACAAUUCGUUCCUAGCUUGUGAUUUGAGAGAUCAGAGGCUUGAACUUUUGAACACGUGGUAAUGCUGCGUUUGCCCGAUUUGAUGUGAAAUGCUUACAUGGGUGUAGUGAGUUCCCCCGAAAUGAUUAAUGACAGUGCAGUAAUAUCGUUGAUUGGGAAAUUUCUCAUCCUGACAUAAUUAGCUUUCUCAAUCUCAUGGGGUCAAUGUUGUAUUUGAUGGCCUGUAGGAAUUACUUUUGUGAUAUCAUGUAAAUGCCUAAUAUGUUCCUUGGUAUCAUCUAUUAUUGGUCCAGAUAUAUUACCAAGGGUCUCUACCUUACACAUUGUCCUGCAUAGUCUCCCGAGGGAUAAACUGCGUGUACCUUAACUUUUAACCUUAACCAACUUCAUAUCAAAUGUUGUUUUACGAUCCAUUCAGAAGCACCGAAAUAGCUGCGACCUCACCACUUUGCUGCAAAUUAAACAACCAAUUAAUUAUCCGAAGCUAUCUGAUUGUGAGCAUGUUGUGAGCUGUUGUGCAAUGUGGUCACUAAGAAAGAAAACAGUAAUAUCUGGCCCUGCAAAGCUUGAUACUGUAUGAGGGUAUUACUCCCACUUGGUUUGAGAGAGCUGUUCUUACAACUACACAGGUGUGUAUGCAUGCUGACAACUUAAUGGGAGCGUCAGGCCCUUCAUGUAUGUUCUUGUGGAAGUGUGUGUGAGUGUGGUAAAUGUAAUAAUCUAUUGCAAUUGAUUAAUCCUGUAUCGGUAGUUGCGAUGUUGACUCAGAUAUCAUGUCUAAAGAUCCAACCCCAGUAACUCAGUUGAGACCUUCCGGAUAAAGGGAAGACAUAAACCAAACAAUUAGUAUGUCGUGGGGCCUUACAAGAGCAUAAAACAGAUGCAUUUUUAUGAAAGAGCUUCAUAUACUAACUUAUUAUUUGUUGAAGUUCCUUCCAUUUCAUAAUUAAAAAUCUGCUGUUUGACAAUCUUCUUAUAUUCUAAAGGAAACUUUGUGAUUUUACCAUGUAAUUGUUUGAGCAUGAUUACAUGACCUAACAUCUAUCAGCUUUGUGCAGGAGGAUAGUGCAAAGACCGGGAAAGUUGCUUCUGCGGGGAUGUUCUUUCUAGGCUUUCCUGUAUAUCGAUUUGAACAAAAUAAUUCGGCUGCUACUGCGAAGGAUCCUGACAGUGCAUUCUUUAAAAGAUUGGAUGGCUUUCAACCGUGUGAAGUAAACGAACUGAAAGCAGGAACCUAUUGUUUCGCCGUCUAUGGUACAUCAUUUUCUGUUGCACCAUAUUUAGUUAUCCAUGAUAAUAUACAAUCUAUUGAAAAUCAAUAAUUUUUUAGGCAUGAA